GCCGCUAUAGCUCAGUGGCUGGAGCGUUGGUCUCGUAAACCAAAGGUCACGAGUUCGAAUCUCGUUGGCGGCA
rnacentral:tRNA from 1 species